UACGUAGGUGACAAGCGUUGUCCGGAUUUACUGGGCGUAAAGAGCGCGCAGGCGGUCGAUCAAGUCGAGUGUGAAAGCCCCCGGCUCAACUGGGGAGGGUCACGCGAUACUGAUCGACUCGAAGGCAGGAGAGGGUAGUGGAAUUCCCGGUGUAGUGGUGAAAUGCGUAGAUAUCGGGAGGAACACCAGUGGCGAAGGCGGCGAUCUGGGCUGAUACUGACGCUGAGGUGCGAAAGCGUGGGGAGCAAACAGG
rnacentral:rRNA from 1 species